rnacentral:tRNA from 1 species
GCCGAAGUGAUGGAAUGGCAGACAUGUCGGUCUCAAAAACCGAUGUCCUUGCGGACAUGAGGGUUCGACUCCCUCCUUCGGCA